UACGUAGGGUGCAAGCGUUAUCCGGAAUUAUUGGGCGUAAAGAGCUCGUAGGCGGUUUGUCGCGUCUGCUGUGAAAACUGGGGGCUCAACCCCCAGCCUGCAGCGGGUACGGGCAGACUAGAGUGCGGUAGGGGUGACUGGAAUUCCUGGUGUAGCGGUGGAAUGCGCAGAGUAUCAGGAGGAACACCGGUGGCGAAGGCGGGUCUCUGGGCCGAUACUGACGCUGGAGGAGCGAAAGCGUGGGGGAGCGAACAGG
rnacentral:rRNA from 1 species